GAAUGUGAGGGUGACCUGGCUGUGACCCUCCACCCCAUUGAUUGCCUGGCCCAUUAGACUGAUGUGGUGGCUGGGUGUCUUCUUUCCCCCCACCUCUGUGUACUCCAGCUUCAAGUUGCUGGCUCAGACAACAGGGUGACCUUCCUGAGAGGGGAUCCAUUCUGGC
rnacentral:sRNA from 1 species